CAGCCGCCGCGGUAAUACGUAGGGUGCAAGCGUUAAUCGGAAUUACUGGGCGUAAAGCGUGCGCAGGCGGUUCGCUAAGACAGGUGUGAAAUCCCCGGGCUUAACCUGGGAACUGCAUUUGUGACUGGCGGGCUAGAGUAUGGCAGAGGGGGGUAGAAUUCCACGUGCAGCAGUGAAAUGCGUAGAGAUGUGGAGGAAUACCGAUGGCGAAGGCAGCCCCCUGGGCCAAUACUGACGCUCAUGCACGAAAGCGUGGGGAGCAAACAGGAUUAGAUACCCCUGUAGUCCCUGUCUCUUAUAC
rnacentral:rRNA from 1 species